AUGGAAUAUGUAUGUCAUGUGUAUUCUCUUUUAAAUGACUCACCCUUUGUGUCUAAUCCAGAGACGGUCCCAGAGCAUCUCAACCUGAGGAGCAGUGAAGUCUCCACAGAGAGCUUUAGGGUCACCUGGGAACACUCAGGCCAAGACGUGCUCCUUUACAGACUGUUCUGGAUCCCAACCAGAGGGGGAGACACUAAAGAAGUCUGUGAAGAUGCAGAUGAAUGGUAACAUUCACACCUACAUUGAAUACAAGGAGGCAAGUUUGAAAGUGACACCAUGACCAUCAAAGUGUCAACAGGUAAACUACAGGAUAUAUAGCUAAUGUAACCGCUCUCAAAAGACUUUGUAAUUGCACUUUUGCACAUUGAGCAUAACAGGGUCAAUGUAGUUGAUUAUAGUUGAGUAUGUAUAGUAUAGUGAUACUAUUGGGUAACGUUUAGGUGGGAAAAGACUUGGGUUUACCAAAAAAUUAUACAAAAAAGACAGCAGAGUUUACAAAAAUAUUACAUGAGGAACAAUUUAGAAAUAAUUUGAAAUGGGAAUUUUUAUGUUUGUGCUUUUCUGAUAACUAAUUUCUGUGUUUGUGCAAGUGACUGAUUUAACGAAUCCUCACUUAUCAGUAUCUGCAAUUUGGCAGUACACCCAGACCUUGUUUUGAGAAAGAAAAAAAUAUAUCUCAGUUUCAAGGUCUCAGUUUAGAGAGAAGAAUUCUCGUGAGGUGUUGGUCUGCCACAUGUUAUGAACCAGUAUUGGUCGGUGACAUGAAUGAAACAAAACGGUAAUGAUUAAUUCUGCUAAAUCAUACAAAUAUAGCUUGUCUGUGUAUAGCUGUAUAUAAGACAACUGCUGGAACUGUCCAGGAAGAGCUUGUGAUUGACUUGUAUAUUAUUGUGCUGUCACACCCUGAUCUGUUUCACCUGUCUUUGUGCUUGUCUCCACCCCCACCAGGUGUCUCCCAUCUCCCCUCAUUAUCCCCUGUGUAUUUAUACCUGUGUUCUCUGUUUGUCUGUUGCCAGUUUGUUUUGUACUUCAAGCCUACCAGCGGUUUAUCCCUUGCGCCUGUCUUUUCUAUAGUUCCUGUUUUCCAAUUUUUCCGGUUUUGACCAUUCUGCCUGCCCUGACCCUGCCUGCCGUCCUGUACCUUGUCCCACCACACUGGAUUAUUGACCUCUGCCUGCCCUGACCCUGAGACUGUCUGCCGUUCUGUACCUUUUGGACUCUCUGGAUUACUGACCUUUGCCUGCCCUUGACCUGUCAUUUUGCCUAGCCCCUGUUCUAGUAAUAAAAUGUUGUUACUUCGACACUGUCUGCAUCUGGGUCUUCCCUAAUAGUGGUAGGUGCAUUGAGUUGGUUGGAACCUCUCCAGCACACUUACAAUAAAUUAUGAUUAAUUUAAGAUUGACUUCCAGUGUCCCUGUGUAAUCAUUUCCACGACAAACUCAUGCUUGUUUUCAUUGCAAAGGUUGCUUUUAUCACUUAUCGUAAAUCACGUGGUACAUUAGUCAUAAACAGGAGAGACAGAUCCGUUACUGUACUUAUGAUCAAGAACAGAUUUGUCAAGAAAGUGAAACACUAGAAUAACAAGCAUUCUGUUUGACACAAUGAACCUAGGAUACUUCACAUACUUUCAGCUUUAGUAUGAAGAUCAACAAGGAUAAGAUCAUCAUCCUUCAAGGUCAAAUCAACUUACUGAUAAAUGUUGUCAUGUUUCCACACAAGAGCCACAAAGAGGAGCAUUAUUGUGGCAGAAUACAAUGAGUUUGAAAAAUGCCCAAACUUGUUUAAGUUCAACAUCAGUUGACUUAUCUUUAUAUAUAUAUAUAUACAGUGGGGCAAAAAAGUAUUUAGUCAGCCACCAAUUGUGCAAGUUCCCCCACUUAAAAAGAUGAGAGAGGCCUGUCAUUUUCAUCAUAGGUACAGUUCAACUAUGACAGACAAAAUGGGGGGAAAAAAUCCAGAAAAUCACAAUGUAGGAUUCUUUAUGAAUUUAUUUGCAAAUUAUGGUGGAAAAUAAGUAUUUGGUCACCUACAAACAAGCAAGAUUUCUGGCUCUCACAGACCUGUAACCUUCAUUCUAGUGAAGGUUCUAGUCAGGAGGAAAAACCAACCAGAAGCCGUGAUGAUAUUGAUGAGAACCAACGACUGCUACCUGGUGAAGGUCUGUAUAUCAACCUCCCUCUCUAUAUUAAUUACACCCUUUCAGGUUGGUCAUCUAAAUGAGUAACUAAAGUUAGAUUUUUUUCAUUCAAAAGUAAAUAUGAAUUGGAAUUACAAUAAAUGCAUAUACACUGUUCAAAAAAUAAAGGGAACACUUAAACAACACAAUGUAACUCCAAGUCAAUCACACUUCUGUGAAAUCAAACUGUCCACUUAGGAAGCAAUACUGAUUGACAACAAAUUUCACAUGCUGUUGUGCAAAUGGAAUAGACAACAGGUGGAAAUUAUAGGCAAUUAGCAAGACACCCCCAAUAAAGGAGUGGUUCUGCAGGUGGUGACCACAGACCACUUCUCAGUUCCUAUGCUUCCUGGCUGAUGUUUUGGUCACUUUUGAAUGCUGGCGGUGCUUUCACUCUAGUGGUAGCAUGAGACGGAGUCUACAACCCACACAAGUGGCUCAGGUACUGCAGCUCAUCCAGGAUGGCACAUCAAUGCGAGCUGUGGCAAGAAGAUUUGCUGUGUCU
rnacentral:lncRNA from 13 species